rnacentral:tRNA from 1 species
UCCCUGGUAGUAUAUCGGUUAGUACACGCGCCUGUCAUAAGAAGACAGAGAAUGCCUGCGCGCGAAAGCUGGGUUCGACUCCCAGCCAGGGAG